GAGUCGUUUCAAAAUAACCUACCAUUCAGGCUUCGAGCCAACCGUUCAAACUUGUCGAUACUUGGUUAACGAAAUGGAAAAUUUCAACCUAAGCUCAUGUUCAGCUGGAACUCAAAUCCUUAAGCGACCUUAGACUGAAACUAAUGCAUGACAUAUUGUGUUUGUGUUUCUAAUUCUCGAAUGAUGCUUUGGAAACAAGCAAAAAAAAAAAAUCAAUAAUCUGAUCAACGCCACCAUCAAACUUGAUCUGGAGUCCAACAGGAUCACUGAGUUUGUCAAAAUUCGAUGUCGGUCGGGAAUGUCGUCGUGUUUACUGGGGGAACAGGGGACAUGUUCUGAGUUAUCCAGAACCGUGAAGAGUAUAAGGGAACUUUUGAGACCAUUCACAUCCAAGACGCGCAGGGCCAGAAGUUUGCUGCUCGCUUGGGCGAUGUGUUCAUCAUCGGAAAGGGAAUGAAGCCUUGGGUCUCUCUCUCUUAAAGGUAUCAAGCUGUCCAUCAUCGAGGAGGUGAGGAAAAGGCUUGCAGCUCAAGCAUCCGCGACCGUAUUGACGACGUAGGCUCGUGUAGAAGAGAAAAAGGCUUGCGGGGAGUGUAAAAAUGUUGCACUGAUGAUCCAUUGAAUCUAUGCACAAUUUUGUCUUUUUUGAGCCGUAUUCAGCUCGGCCAUACGAGGAAGUUCCGCUGCGUUGGAUGAGUCAAAAAGCAGUGACAUUUUGUGGAAAAAAGGAAAAAUGCAGAGAGACAGAAAAGAUGGCAGGUACGGCGCACCAGCCUUGAUUCAUUUUAUUGAGGGAACGGAAAGGGAAGUUGACACGUUUGGUAAGCAGCUUUCGAUGACUAAAUUUCUAUCCCCAGGCUUUCAGUAAACUGUACAAAAUAGAGUGAGGAAACGGCAGUUUGUCUGGAGAGCAUCCCAACUAUCUAAGAACACAAACUCUUGAAAUCUUUCCCGUGGUGGUGAUUUGUUCAAUCUGCUAACGGGAAAAGAUUAGAUUCGUCCACCCCAAUUGCGACAUUAAGCAGCAUCGCCCUCAUGGAGCAGCAGCAUCGCCCUCAUGGAGCAGCAUCUGAUCGAAAUGCCAUACACCUGGAAGUCAUUGAAAUCGCCAGAGUUAGUACUCAACAUUAAGAGAGAGACAGAGACAGAGACAGAGACAGGAAGACAAAUAAGAUCCUAUUGUGAAGCCUAUUGUCUGAUUUGUUGAAGGCUUGAAACAGAAACUGACGGCAUUUCUGACUCGGAAUUUGGAAUACGAAAAAAAGUUAAUUUUUCUUUCA